GCCCUCAUAGCUCAGUAGGUAGAGCGCAUUCUUGGUAAGAAUGAGGUCAUCGGUUCGACUCCGAUUGGGGGCU
rnacentral:tRNA from 1 species